rnacentral:rRNA from 1 species
UUGACCUCAAAUCAGGUAGGACUACCCGCUGAACUUAAGCAUAUCAAUAAGCGGAGGAAAAGAAACUAACAAGGAUUCCCCUAGUAACUGCGAGUGAACCSGGAAAAGCUCAAAUUUGUAAUCUGGCAGCUCUCAGAUCUGUCCGAGUUGUAAUCUAGAGAAGUGUUACCUGUGCUCGACCGUGUACAAGUCUUCUGGAAUGGAGCAUCACAGAGGGUGAGAAUCCCGUCUUCAACACGGACUGCCUGCACAUUAUGGUGCGCUCUCAAAGAGUCGAGUUGUUUGGGAAUGCAGCUCAAAAUGGGUGGUAAAUGCCAUCUAAAGCUAAAUAUUGGCGAGAGACCGAUAGCGAACAAGUACCGUGAGGGAAAGAUGAAAAGAACUUUGGAAAGAGAGUUAAACAGUACGUGAAAUUGCUGAAAGGGAAACGCUUGAAGUCAGUCGCGUCGGCUAGAAAUCAGCCUUGCUUUUGCUUGGUGUACUUUCUUGUCAACGGGUCAGCAUCAAUUUUGACCGCCGGAUAAAGUCGAUGGGAAUGUGGCAUCUUAGGAUGUGUUAUAGCCUGUCGUCGCAUACGGCGAUUGGGAUUGAGGAACUCAGCACGCCCGCAAGGGACGGGUUUUUGGACCACGUUCGUGCUUAGGAUGCUGGCAUAAUGGCUUUAAUCGACCCGUC